rnacentral:lncRNA from 1 species
GUCAUCCACGCAGUGGACAGUCUGUUCAAUACCACCUUCGUCUGCACAGUCACCAAUGCCGUGGGCAUGGGCCGCGCUGAGCAGGAGGAGGAGCCAGUGGCGACGGGGGAUUCUACGAUCCGAAAGCUCAGGUGUUGGGAAAUGGGGACCCCGUCUUCUGGACACCAGUAGUCCCUGGUCCCAUGGAACCAGAUGGCAAGGAUGAGGAGGAGGAGGAGGAGGAAGAGAAGGCAGAGAAAGGCCUCAUGUUGCCUCCACCCCCAGCACUCGAGGAUGACAUGGAGUCCCAGCUGGACGGCUCCCUCAUCUCACGGCGGGCAGUUUAUGUGUGACCUGGACACAGACAGAGACAGAGCCAGGCCCGGCCCUCCCGCCCCCGACCUGACCACGCCGGCCUAGGGUUCCAGACUGGUUGGACUUGUUCGUCUGGACGACACUGGAGUGGAACACUGCCUCCCACUUUCUUGGGACUUGGAGGGAGGUGGAACAGCACACUGGACUUCUCCCGUCUCUAGGGCUGCAUGGGGAGCCCGGGGAGCUGAGUAGUGGGGAUCCAGAGAGGACCCCCGCCCCCAGAGACUUGGUUUUGGCUCCAGCCUUCCCCUGGCCCCGUGACACUCAGGAGUUAAUAAAUGCCUUGGAGGAAAACA